UUGGCCUUUAAUGUUUUCCAGACACUGGGUCAUAUCUCCUGAAUUCUGCCUAAACCAGAGCAGCAUAAAAAUGAAUAUGCUCACAUCCCUGAAGUUGUAUGUGCACAGGAUGUGUCUGUAGCUCUUCAAGUGGGAAAUAGGUGCUUCGGUGCACUGAUGUACGUAUUUGCAGUCGGCAGUUCUGAAAAUCUGACGGUUUAUAAGUUGCAUCUGUUACAUUUUCUGUGACAUGACUCAUCCAUCUAAAACUAGAGCAAAAUUCCAGAAAAGAAGUACUUACCUCAACGGUGCCAUCCUCCUUCCAGAAGGGUGAUUCUCUGCAUUUGAGCACUUCUCCUGUCCUCCCAGAGCUCCUAGCCAGCAAGAUCUGCUUUGAGAUGGAAGAAUAGCACCCUCAAGAGUUCACAGCCACACUGCUUCAAGGAUCCAUGCUCUGCAACACACAUCCUUCCUCUUCCAGUUAACUCCCUGGCACAUGUAACUGAAGCAACGAGAACAAAAGUUUUCUCUUGACAUUAGAUUUGAAAUAUUUGGUAAAAGUCACUGUUGAUAUGAAUGCGGAAAAAAAGCAUUUGUGCUUGUAUGAGGAAUGAU
rnacentral:lncRNA from 1 species